rnacentral:sRNA from 3 species
AUAUCUCUCUGUACGGGAAGGAUGAGAAGCUUCUACCAGGGUUCGAUUCGAGCGCAGCGAGAAAGCGUUGCCGCAGGCAACGACCCGAAGCGCGCAGCGCUGAGUCAUCCUUCCCCCACCACCA